rnacentral:rRNA from 1 species
UACGUAGGGGGCAAGCGUUGUCCGGAAUCAUUGGGCGUAAAGAGCGUGUAGGCGGCCUGAUAAGUCGGUUGUGAAAGUCAAGGGCUCAACCCUUGAAUGCCGGCCGAUACUGUCAGGCUAGAGUCCGGAAGAGGCGAGUGGAAUUCCUGGUGUAGCGGUGAAAUGCGCAGAUAUCGGGAGGAACACCAGUGGCGAAGGCGGCUCGCUGGGCCGGUCCUGACACUGAGGCGCGAAGGCGUGGGGAGCGAACGGG